GACAUCUGGCAGCAGCUGUGGUCAGGGAGCACACAGAGCCCCUGGCUGGGAGCUGUUGGCUCUGUCCCCUCCAUCCCAGAAGGAACUUCAAGUCUCCAGUCCCUUUUUGAAGGAUUGUGGAUGGAUGCAACUCUUGAAGCAGAUGUACUGGAACUAACAUGGACAGAGAGCAGAGCCAGCCUUGGUAAGGAGACUGAACCAGAGAGGAGAUGCCAUGUCAGCAGUGCAUGGAGCUUGGUGCAUCCAGCAUGGGCAGAAAAAGAAGAAGAAGAAGAAAGAAGAAGAAGAAGAAAAAAGAAGAAAGAAGAAGAUGAAGAAGAAGAAGAUGAUGAAGAUGAAGAAGAAGAAGAAGAAUUACUCCUUAUCCCCAGCCAGAUUAGCAGCCACUCAAGCACAGAGUUUUAGAGGAAUAUGCUACGUGAGAAAAGAGAGAAAUUGCAAGGUGGUGAGAGGGCAAGAAUGGAGAAGAGCUUAAUUAAAUUAACUGAGGGAAUAUUUACACUUCCCAUUUCUGAGAUUCGCAAUUCUGUAGAACAGUCUCCCAGAGGAAGUCAUGAAAACCUCAUCACUGAGCCAUUUUAAAUGAGUUGGAACAGCUCUACAGUGAACACUGUGGGGGCUGUGGACUGGCUCAUGGCUCCUCUCUCUGUCUCUCUUUAUAACUAAUGAAGCACACUCCCCUUAAAUCUCCAUAGCACAAACCAUGGGAUAAUCCAUAUCAACUCAUGAAUGUAUUUCACUUGCAAAAUGUGAAUAGAUACUUAUGCAAAUAAAUGGAUCAGAUUACCAACA
ensembl:lncRNA